rnacentral:tRNA from 1 species
UCUGAGGUGGCUCAGUGGUAAAGAAUCUGCCUGCCAAUGCAGGAGAUGUGAGUUCGAGCCCCAGUUCUGGAA